CGGAGGGGCUGCGGAGGCCGGGUCAUGGGGUCGGCACCGCGGGGAAGCCCCGGUAGAGGGGCCGUGCCCUGAGGGGCUGCGGAGGCCGGGGCGUGGGGUCGGCACCGCGGGGAAGCCCCGGCGGAGGCGGAGGGGACAGGAACAUGCCUGACCUUUAAAGUAUGAGGAGAAAAGAUAGAGAGAUUCAUUGUCUUCACAUCCAGUUUUCUUCUGUGUAUGUGUGAACCAAAGAAAAUUCAGAUGAAACAGGUCUCUGAAGCAAUUAGAGCAAGCAAGAGCCAGAAUUUUCAGAUCCUGGAGUACAAGAUGUGUUGAUUGUCUGCACCUCUGCUGCACACAGUGGAACUUGCAUGUGGCUCAGAAUGAAGGAACCAAGUGAAGCCUUGAAACAGUCUUUGCAUCUUCUGCUCAAUGCUGUGGGAAGCCAGGGUGCUGCAUUUUAACACCGUGUGAUGACUGUGACAUGAAAAGUGAGAAGAAGUGUCUAAAACAGGGAAAACUUUAAAUAAUAACAUGGAAUAAAGAGAAAAAAGUAGUGGAAUAACCAACUUUAAAACGAUUUAUAGCAAGAGAGGCAACACCAGGCGUACCAAUAGUAACAAUAAUGCUCCACCUUUUUUGAUAUCUAACCACGUGACUCUGUAAAAACAAAACUUUAAAGAAUUAUGACAUAAAUUAAUAGGCUGAAAACAAUAGAAGUGAUGCAUUUGUUUACAGGAGAGCUGCUGCUACCUCUUGCCAGUGGCCUGCUGUAUGAGGCAGACAGGUGAGUUUGGGUUUCUCAGCAGAGAUAGACUGUAGGUCUAUAACACUCAGUUCCAACAACACUGAGAACCCUGAUAUUGAGGGUGGAAAGACGAUUUUAUUGAACUUCUGUCAGAGACGAUACAGGACUGUGAAUACAAAAGGUGUAAAGAUCUGAGCUGUGGAAUACAGUGAAAACAACCUCUCGGAGUCUGGACCUCUUUGAUAAGAUGUCACUGCAUCCUUACAAAGACUUUGAGUUCUCUAUAGUGAAUGUAAAUUCAGGAGAGAAAUGUCCAACAGUCUUUAAAAAAAAGAAAGCUAAAUUUACUUGGGGGAAGGAAUGGAGGUUAGAGCAGCAGCAAGACAGUGACAUAAAGAAAAGACAGCCUCUGUUGUGUCUGCUGAGAAACUCAGUUUAUUCGGUAGAAAAACAUUCUAAAAAGAAAUUAGAUUUAUUAAAUAUGAAGCAAAAUCUUGACUAGAUCAAUAAUCUUCUGUACAUUCUGUAUUUUAAAACGUAUUUAGCAGCAAGCCAUUAUAUUUAGAAACCUUCCUAUCAGCAAGCUCUCUGGAGUGUACAGGAAAGUUCCCAGAUGAAGAGUUUGCCAAGGCAGUCAAACCUCCACAUCCACCAUGCUGACUGAUAGGAAUCUGUGAAAUCCACGUGAGCCAUACAGGAAAGCUCUUUCCCAGCAGGGCUGCAAUUCCCAUAUGGAAGAAUAAAGGCAAGAUGUCACUGUCGUAAGAGAAAUUACUUGGAUGCUGAUAGAAAAAGCUUUUGUUUAUGGUGUUCUGUGUGUCCUGCACAGUUAUCUGCAAACAGGUGAACAUUUUCCAGGAAUGAAACCUGGUUACUGCUUGAGACUCUUGAAGGCUGUAGCUAAAAAAAGCAGUUUUUGUCCCUACUAAAGGGAGGCUGGCCAAAUCAGGAAAGCUAUAGGUGUUCUCCUCACAGCUAAUCCAUGUUUUAAUUCACAGGUUGCAAAAUACCUUGUUGCCUCAACCUGUUACAGGGCUUGAAAUUGUCUAUUGUAAUUAAUUUCCAGACCAGUAAGGUGAAAGGGCUGCUAAUAUGUGAGGGGUAAUUUUUUCCUGAUGAAUUUUAUGGGUUGCAGAGGCAGGGAAAUUGAUUUUUCUGCCAAAUUAAGUAUUGAUCUAAAAGAAGCUUACUAUGCUACCUAGUUUGGGGUCAUAGGGUACUAUUUCUGUGGGUUUUGUAGAUUGCUUGCUGUAUUUUCCUAUUCCAAUAAAAUCUUUUGUCACAGAGGCAGGUUUCAUUUU